rnacentral:lncRNA from 15 species
CUUCCUGUUUGUCACCAGAUUUAUACACAGGGGUUACUAUAGCAGAUUUCAAGGCACUGGGAAAAGUGCUCUCAUUAAUUGAGCAUAGCGUUAGUUCAGGCAGGCCACGAAGUCAGGCUCAGCUCUCAGUUACAGAUAUAUCAUAUGAUCACAACUAGUCAUAAUCAUAGUCAUAGUGUUUUGCUGCUUUUAUGAUUUAUAUAAAGUGUCUUGAGUAUUCAGAAAGCGCUUCAAAUUAAAUGUAUUAUUAUUUAUAAACAUACAUCAGCUGAUGGAUCAGCUGAUUCCUCCUAAGCUUCCUAUUGGAAACCAUACACAGUCAGCUGACAGCUCAGCUGAUUCCCUCAAGCAUCCAAUUGGCAAAUAUCAUUCAUGGCGCCUUAUUUAAGCUGCUUAGCCUGCCUAUCUUUGCUGCUUCCUCUACAAGCCUUUUCUGCAAGCUACCCCAUGAGAACGAUCAAGCUAUCCGUGUACGUAUUUCUACUUACCUCCCUGCUUGUCAUGUCUACCUACGAUGAGGAUUCAUGGCAGGUCGACUGCAUCAUGGAGUCUCAGCAACAAUCCGAGGCAGAGGAAGCCAACGAAGAGAGCGUUAUGUCCAUCCACCGCAGCUCUCGUUUGGCAAGUAAAAAUCCAAAUACUCCCGGCAUUGAUGAUUGGCCAGUACCUAAACUCCUGGAAGUGUUGUUUAAAAACAACAUUACUGCUCCAGUAGGGGCGUCUCACGAGGAGCUGUUUGCACUGUUUAAGGAGAAGAUCCGCUCCGAAACAGCAUCCGCAUUUCUCUCCAACCACUCUGUUCCUAAAAAAUCUGCAGAGAAAAGGAAGAAUUGCUCCCGCAACUCCGCUGCAGUCCCAGCUCCAGCCGCUGCGCUGCCUUCCAAAAGAGCACGAGUCCCAGACGAAGCAGCCAGCUCCGCCUACCCGGCCGAUAACGACCCCAUUGUGUCAGCUCUGUCCAGCAUCCAGUCGUUGCUUGCCACCAUGAAUUCCAGGAUCCAAGUCCUGGAGUCAACACAUACAGCCGGCCCGUCUUCAUCAGCAGCUGGCAUGUUUCCCUCCUCACUGUCCGCAGGUCCAGCGCAUGGUCCGACAGGUGUGGCGCUGGACGAUGACAUCACCGCAGCACGCUUCGACGGCAUCACAUUCCCGCGGAGAACGCUGGGAAGUGCAGUCCCAAUCUCCACAGGGGUUCCAUUCUUUCCUCCGGCCGCUGCAAUUUCUCCACAUCUCAGAAGUCAAAUCCUUGCAGGUAAUGACGUCAACUUGAUAAAAAUCCUGCUCUGCUCAGAGAUUAGUGAUAGACGUAUUGUGGACUGUGGAGAUAUGUCAGUGAUGCUGAAAGAGUGUGAGCCCAGACUGUCUAAAACAUUAACUCUGGCGGAAUUUAAUGUGGCUUUUGGAGUAUGUAGAGACAUCAUAUGUGAAGCGUAUCCUUCCCGUAGAGCCCAACUGGACACAUACCUAGCUAUCAUUUUAGAUCUAGCCUUGUCUUAUGGAGGAACACUUUUUUUUGAAUACCACAAAUCAUUCUCUGCUAAAGCUUCCAUGUUCAUUCAAAGAUUCAACCAAAGACUGGACUGGUCAGUAGUCGACCUGGCUCUUAUUAGCAGGCAUUUCACAGGCCACCAAGCUCUGUCCUGCUCAAUUUGUGGCUCUUUCUCUCACUCGCACAACCUGUGCCCUAGAUCUGUGGCUGUAGGCCAACCACCCAAGCCCUUUUCAAAACCCCAAACCGAAGAAACCAAGGUGACUCAAUUAAUAACUCCCAUGUGCUUCAAUUUCAACGAAAAUGUGUGCAAGUUCUAUAAUUGUAAAUACAUUCAUGCUUGCAGUUAUUGUGGAGACGGGCAUCCCAAAUCAGUGUGCCCGAGACGAAGCCGCCUCCCAAAAGGGGGCUUGAAAAAAUAAAGCCUUCAACACCAAUCAACGUCCCUGAGCUGGGGAAGGCGCUAAAGAAGCAUCCUAACCGCUGUUUCGUGAAUUAUUUGAUCACAGGACUGGUUCAAGGGUUCUUAGCUGGGCUGACAUGGUUGCAAAAAUGUCAUUUCUUUGCAAAAACCUAGAAUCUGCUUUAAAAGAACCUGAGGUAGUCGAUACUUUACUAGAGAAAGAGAUA